CUCUCUAGUUCUCAUUUAGAGAUGUAAUCUCUCUUCUUUUGUUUUUUUCUUUUUGCCUAAGAGAACAGCUCCUUUCCUCUGUCCUACUCGUCGGCUCCCUCUGCUUCAUAUGCACAGAGGGAGCCUUCCUUCUUACUGUUCCGAAGUUAAUUUUCCUCUCUUUUUCGUUAUUUUUCUUUUGUUUCUUAAUAAGUAGAUUCAGUGGAGAAAACGAGAGAGUUUUGAUAGAUGUGCUUUGUUUUUCAUGUUUUCUUAAUAGUUGAUUUUCGUGUGCAAGUUAGAAGAGGUUUAAAUGGAACUUGAUUUUUUAAUUUUCAUCUAUAUGCAUUAUAGUUUGGUGGCUGAAUCGAUUUCGUGCUCCUCUAUAUUCUCUAUCUAGCGAAGACUGGUAAGGCGGUGGCUAAUUGAAAGACGCAAGUGGGUCGCUUGGAGCGCACCUCCAUCACCUUUAUCUUUUAUGGAGCGGUUGAAAUCGUCUCAAUUUGAAAUUUCAGUGGUGUGCCCAAACUCAGACAACUAGAGGAAUGAGAGAAGCGAGCGCUAAUGGAUGGUUUUUUCGGAUCUUCUUCGAAUCCUAACCAUGGGUCAAAUUAAAUUUUUAGGGUUCCAUGUAUUUGAACUUCUAAUUUUUUUUUUUUUAUAUGAACCUCUAAAAUAUUGAUUUACCUCAUGUAUUCU